AAUCAACUGAAUGGCUCUCUACAUGAGAGUUUAGGUCAACUUUCCAGCCUUACACAUUUAGAUCUUUCUCGAAAUUCUCUGAAUGUUGUCUUAACUGAAGCCCACUUCUUGAACCUGUCUAAAUUAACUACAGUCUCUGGAUGUUUCUUAUAAUCCAGCUCUUUCUUUCCAUGUGAGCUUAAGUUGGCAUCCACCUUUUCACCUUGGUGAAUUAAAGAUGGCAUCUUGCAAGGUCGGCCCUGCUUUUCCUAAAUGGACUCUAACACAGAGAGGACUUUCUACACUUGAUUUGUCUAAUGCUGGGAUAUACCUGAUAUUUUUUGGGAUCUGCCUUGCAGCUUAUCUCUGUUAAAUCUCUCUAUCAACCAAAUCCAUGGAAAGUUUCCGAAUCUCCCAUCAAGAUACUGCGCCUUUCCUUUUAUUGACCUGAGUUCCAAUCGGUUCUCUGGUACGCUCCCACCAUUUCAUCCAGCUGUAAGAGCAUUGUGGCUCUCCAAAAACAACUUUACAGGGGACCUAUCUUCCAUAUGUUCAACUCCGGCUCCAGAUUUGUUUAUACUCGACCUUUCUGAUAAUCUGCUAUCAGGGGAGCUCCCUAAUUGUUGGGUUCAAUUUCAAGGACUGACCGCGUUGAAUUUGGCGAACAAUAGUUUCUCUGGGAAAAUACCAAGCUCAUUUGGUUCUUUAAGGUCUCUUUAUCAAUUACAAUUACAACGUAACAAUGUUUCAGGUGAACUGCCUUCUCUGGAGAACUGUACGCAGUUGGCUUUUCUUGACCUCGGAUUCAAUAACUUAUCAGGAAAGAUACAAGCAUGGAUAGGCAGCAGCCUUAAAACGUUGUGGGUUCUACAAUUAAGGUCAAACCACUUCUCUGGAAGCAUUCCCUCAAGUAUAUGCAGUCUGCCUCUCAUUCGUGUUUUGGACCUCUCUCAAAACAAUAUAUCUGGAGUAUUGCCACAUUGCCUCAACAAUUUGACAGCUUUCUCUUCGGUUUCACUGGAGGUGGAUGACUUCCCAUUUUCUUCUGAUUUUGUUUUACAACUUAUUUGGAAAGGAACAGAGAUGGAGUAUGGGAAAAACGUUAGGUAUUUGAGGAUCAUUGACAUUUCAAGCAAUAAAUUAGCUGGGGUGAUUCCGGAAAACAUAACAUAUAUGCUUGGGUUGCGUUCUCUUAACCUUUCAAGAAACAGUUUGACCGGGGUGAUUCCUGGAAAGUUUGGUCAGUUGGAGGUGCUAGAAGCUCUUGAUUUGUCAAGAAACCACCUAUCCGGUAGUAUUCCUGAUAGCUUUAGGAACUUGCAUUCUAUAGCUGUCUUGAAUUUAUCGAUCAACAACUUGUCAGGAAGAAUUCCAUCCAGCACCCAACUUCUGACUUUUACUGAAUCUUCAUUCGCUGGAAAUGUUGGACUUUGCGGGCCACCGCUAACAACAAAAUGCCCCGGAGAUAGACCGAGUGAAGAUCCAAAAGUCACUGGUGGCACUGAAAGUGAUGGUUUCAUAACACCAGGGUUUUAUGCCGGCAUAGGGAUUGGAUUCUUCACAGGAUUUGUGGGAGUCUGCCUUGCUUUACCGCCUGAGACUUCUUGGAGAUACGUACAGCAGUUUUUAAGGCAAAGAUAACUGAAGAUAAACGCUGCUGUCAUGUAUGGAGAUUAUGCGGGCCUCUGAUGUGGGUGGUUUCAGAUCCAAGGUGUCUUUGCUUUCUCUUUCAGCAAGUCAAGGUCUCAGAUGCUUGUUGGUUUGUAUUACUAUUCUGAAUAAUGGAGAACUGUCUGGGCCUAUAAGUGUAGUAGUCUUGGUCCAAGUAUGUACAAUAAUGAAAGACGUACAUGUUCUUUGAUAUGUGUUCCUGCUAUUAAGGUUUAACUAGCAUUUUAUUUUAGGAUGUUGUUUGAUUGUAAUUUGGAUUCAUGCUUUAUUUCUUCCGAUUCUAAAGCUCGAACUCCUUGUGAAUAGUGCUCCGACCAAUUAGCCUUUUCAUGUUUGUCAUAUUUACCUUUCCAUCCUAGCUUCUUUUCUUAUCAGUUCCUACUCGAAGCGGUGGUGUGAGUGGAUUAGGACUGAAGAAGAGAGAGAGAGAUCCACUUCUGGUAGCGAAGAGAAGGAGAUCGACCAAGUGGUGUAGAGUUCAUCAAACACUGGACUCUUCAUCGAUAAUCACUGUAUAUUGAAUCCCAUUUUCUCAACAACACAGCAAGCAACUCAUGUCCAUAACUUUUCCGAUCGAGUUCUAUCAUAGCAUCUCCUGUUCACUAUCAACCUAUUGUUUUCUUAUUAUUGGCUUCUCUAUAUUACUUGCAGAUUUGGUCUUCGCAUUGCAGAAAGACUCUGUUGUUAUGGACUAAGCAAGUGAGAGUUAGCUCUGGGAAUGGGAUGCCUCUUGAAGAUGGCCAUAUCUGGAGAAAAUAUGGGUAGAAGAAAAUUCUAGGAGCCAAACAUCCCAGGUAACUUUGAUUUUGAAGCAUAGGAAUUGAUCAUUUGAAGCUGUUUUAUGCCAUAUAUGUCGACAGGAACGACCAGGUGCUGUCUUAAUAUUCAUGACUGAGUGGGAGGAUAUCAGCUGUUUGGGGAUCAACUUAAACCCCAUCAUUUUACGUGAUCCCUAACAGGGUAUUGCUUAUAACCUGCCAUGGGUCAAUGGCCACAUCUGAACAGGUACCUCCAUUUUUAGUUCCAAAGGUGUUCACACAGAUAUUCUCCUUCAUCAAUGUUUAGUUAUUCAACAGCAUUCUAUUACGAUGAGACUGCUGUUUGUUUAGUAAUGGGGAAUAUGUAAAAGCUGGUUUGGCUGAAAGCAACAGAUGAGGUGCCUUGAAAUUAUUUCCACCUUGCCUUAUUGUAUUAUAAACUCUUACUGAAUAAACGAAUAUGCAGUAUGCUGGUUCAGGUUGGGAUGAACUAAGCAUAGUAGGCAAGCCUUUGGAUUCCUGGUCACAUCAAAAACCCGAAAAGACACUUGAUGAAAUAAGCCAUGACCUGUGCUCAGAAAAUGCCGAUUUCAGCUUUGGACCUGCGUCAGUAUCUAUCUCUAAGCUACUUGGAUUGCUUCCUUUCGGCCUAUGAAAUACCUAAUGGCAAAGCUUGGACUAUGCAAUUGUUGGAUGUGGCAUGUUUGCUCCUUGCGGCCAAAAUGGAGGAGUUUAAUGUCCCACUCUCCCUUUACAGGCAAAAUAUGUAUUUGAGGCUAGAGGUAUUCAAAGAAUGGAGCUACUGGUUUUGAGCACAUUGAGAUGGAGAAUGCAAGCAGUUACUCCAUUUAUUUGAACUAUUCUUAUUUAGUUGCUGAGACGUUUCUAAGAAGUCAAGGAAGAGGAGAAAACUGAGUGAGAAGGAAACAGAAAAUAAGCUCUCAGGAGAGCAUGGUACCGUUCAGAAAGAAACUGACAUCUCCAAUGGUGAACAAGCAACAGAUAUGAGUGUAACUGAGAAGAGAAGCCUAGACACGAGUUCUAAUGGGAAACAAGACGCCAGCAUCCCUGGCCAACCUGAUGAAGGCAAAAACUCUCUGUUGGGGACAGAAAACUUCCCGGGCAGUCAGGCACAGUUAGAUCACAAAAAUUCUGGUGAUGCGAAUGGUGUUCUUUGUUCUAGUACAGGUGACUCUUCUGGUGAUGAGCAAGUAGCUGCAACUGCCGAAGUUGAUUUUAAGGUGUCAAGUUUGGUUUCUGCCUUUUCAAACAACAGCAUCAUCCAGAAAUUGUGUUGGUUGCUUAAGUUCUAUAAGAGUAACUUGAUCAGAACAAAUCACUACAUAGUAUGCAUGUUGUGAAGGAUCAGUGAAGACCUGGAGCUCUCUCCAAUGCUGUAUCAGUUAUCACUCCUCACUAUAUUCUAUGAUAUCCUAGCUGAGCAGAAUUCAUCUCCUUGCAACGAUGAAAACAUUGUUGGUUUCUUGAAAAGUUUGGUCAGGAAAAUGCUAAAAAAAAUGAAACAACGUGGAAAUUCUCUUCUGGAAGACUCGCAAAGAGUGUCAUUACAUUAAUGCUGAAUAUUUAUUGCAUGAGCUUGGCCAAUUGAGGAAUGAAAGUAGGAACUGGGGAGAUACUAUAGAGGAUGGAGGUAUGGGUCGAUCAAUGGACAAGGGAUGGACAGGUAGAAAUCUAGCAGAUGCACUUGGUGAAGAUGAAGCUGAUGUUGUGCUCAAUUUUGGACAUAACAACAAUGAAGAAAAUCUUGGAAAAGUGGAAGGAGGUGCUGCAUUUACUUCAGAUAAUGAGAUUGAUGGGAAAGAAGAUUAUGACAACGGGGGCCAGUCCAUGAAAACUGAAACCGGAAGGGGUCCUCUAAAAAAGAAAAGACUUGUUAUUGGAGAUGAAGAUUAAGGGUCUGUAUGAGAAAUUCAAGGACAACCACAAUUGUAGUCACCUUAUUGCUGAAGCUCUUGAUCCUGAUGGGAAAAUUUCAUCAACUCAAAUUUCCAACAAGCUUAAGCAGCUUGGACUCAAAGUUGCACGAAGGAAAAGAUUGCGCCAUGCACAGGAAUCUGUUUCUGCAGCCCAGUCAAACUGAUGGAGAUGGAGAGGAAACAGUUAUUACUCAUCAUGAAUCAAAAACUCGGCCUUUGUAA